rnacentral:rRNA from 1 species
AUUGAACGCUGGCGGCAGGCCUAACACAUGCAAGUCGAACGAGUGGCGGACGGGUGAGUAAUGUCUGGGAAACUGCCCGAUGGAGGGGGAUAACUACUGGAAACGGUAGCUAAUACCGAAUACCAUCGGAUGGGCCCAGCUGGGAUUAGCUUUUAGGUGGUGUAUUGGCUCACCUAGGCGACGAUCACGAGCUGUCCUGCGAGGAUGACCAGCCACCCUGGAACUGGACCACGGCCCAGAUCCCUCCGGGAGGCAGCAGUGGGAAAUAUUGGACAUUGGCGGAAAGCCUGAUGCAGCCAGGCCGCGUGGAUGAGGAGGGCCUUCGGGUUGUAAAGUACUUUCAUCGGGGAGGCGUUACCCGCAGAAGAAGCACCGGCUAACUCCGUGCCAGCAGCCGCGGUAAUAC